rnacentral:tRNA from 1 species
GGAGAAAUGGCAGAUUGAAAUGUGUUUGAUUUGAAAUCAAUUGAUAAAGGUUGAAUUCCUUUUUUCUCUU